CAGCAGCCGCGGGAAUACAGAGGGUGCGAGCGUUAAUCGGAUUUACUGGGCGUAAAGCGUGCGUAGGCGGCUUCUUAAGUCGGAUGUGAAAUCCCUGAGCUUAACUUAGAAAUUGCAUUCGAUACUGGUAAGCUAGAGUAUGGGAGAGGAUGGUAGAAUUCCAGGUGUAGCGGUGAAAUGCGUAGAGAUCUGGAGGAAUACCGAUGGCGAAGGCAGCCAUCUGGCCUAAUACUGACGCUGAGGUACGAAAGCAUGGGGAGCAAACAGGAUUAGAUACCCCUGAGUCCCUGUCUCUUAUACA
rnacentral:rRNA from 1 species